UGAAGUUUGAAUCCACUUCAGCGUCCUGGUGUUCUUCGUUUCUCGAUUCCCUAAUUCGUGCGUCGUUGCUUUCUUUGCGAUGGAUUCAUUCCAAGGUCGUCGCUUCGCCGACGGCGACGGUAGCGGUGGCGGCGGAGAUAUCCAACAGCCGCAGCAGAACCCAUUCGCUAGUCCUUAUCAUCAUCAGCCCCAAUCCCAUCUCUCUACCACCUCUAAUUACCCCUACAACCCUCCGCCUCCUCACCAGAGCCAUUAUCCGUCUCCUCCUCCUCCUCCGCAUCUUAUUUCGUCUCAGCAUCAGCCGCCGCCUCCGCCGCAGUGGGUUCAUACAGAUGACCACUUUCAGCAGCAGCAACACCACCAUCAUCACCCUGCUCCUGCACCGCCCUACCCGCCGCCUUAUGCAGCUCGUCCUGUGCAACACCAGCAGUACCCUCCUCACCACCCACUGCAGUUGCCGCCGCCUCCGCCGCACUAUUCAGCUUUCCCUCCGCCACCGCAUCAGGGAUGGGGAGGUCAAUCGUGGCAACAGAAUCAGGCAUGGAAAUACCAAGAAAGAAGCCUAUCAUAUAAUGCUGUCGAUGAGUGGGCUGCCCGAGCAAAAGAAUGGGCAACUGCUAACCAUCAGAGUAAUUCACAGGUUGUGUCUGAUGGAAGAAACGAAGUCCAUAGUCACACAUAUCAUGAUCAAUAUCAAGCCACAGUUGGUCCUCCUAAAGAUGCUCAACAAUCUUUGCUUUCUCAGUCCACUAACCAACAGCUACCCCAUUAUACAAUGGAUCAACAGAAACAAGUCAAUCAUGUGUAUCCCUCUACUUCAUUGGUCUCUGGGUCAACUUAUGUAGGAGACAUGCAUAUCCAUUCUGCUACUGGAGAAGAAGCUGUUGCACAACCGAAGGCUCUUACUUCACCUGGAAAUUUGUUUGGGUCUACAUCAUCCAUUUAUGAGCAGGAGGUACCUUAUAGUUAUUCUUAUGUCCCAGGUAACAGAGACUCUGUCAGUCAGUUUCAUCUGCCUGUAUUAUCCACUCGAGAAGGUUUUGUUCAUCCACCACCAGCAUUAACUGAUCCAAAUGUAGCAGUUGAUCAGCAUGAUCUGGACCAGGGCAGACAACCAACCAACUACACAACUGAUCCCAGCAAUAUGCCUCUUGAUUUUCAGCCUAGGCCUGUUUCGGACCUUGAAUCACAUCCAAAAAUAAGUUAUGCUCCUAUUCGAUCUGAGUCUUUGGGAAUGAUUGAUCAAGAUGCAAUUUCUAUGCCUGCUCAUGCUUGGGCUCCUCCAGCUGCUCCAGCAGUUCUUCCCCAAGUUUCCAUUUCAGGAUCAGUGACACAGUUGGAUCAUCCUUUUAUCCCACACCCUGCCUUAGGGCCACAACCACCAUCAGUCUAUGGAAGGUCAAUAGGGCCCAACUUUAGGCCUGGUGUCCCACCAAGUCCUCUCUUUGGUUUAGUGACAGGGGCAUCUCUUAAUCAUUCAUCAAUUAUCUCUGCUGAAGCAAGUAGCAAUUUUAAUCUCUCUGAACGCCCAAAGAAAGCUGCAGUACCUAAUUGGCUUCGAGAAGAAAUCAUAAAAAAUAAAUCAACAAUAGCAAGUGCUUAUGCCAGUCAUCAGAAUGGGAUUUCUUACAAUUCCAUGGAACUGGAGGAUGAUGACAAACUGUAUAAGGCGGGUGAUAAAAUUGGUAAUGCGAGUGCCGAUUCAAUCAAAUCUACUGAAGACAAAGAUGAUGAUGAGGAUGGAGCUGAAGCUGCUAGAUCAGCAGCAAUAAACCAGGAGAUAAAGCGUGUGCUAACUGAAGUUUUGUUGAAGGUUACAGAUGAGCUUUUUGAUGAAAUUGCUCUGAAAGUUCUUGAUGAAGAUGAUCUAACUGAUGAAGUAACUGAGAACAAAGAAGUUGGAAAUGAUAGGGUCUCUGUUUCAGGAGUAUCAACAACUAAUGCUUCUGCAAAGGUUUUAGUGACAAUUAAAGAAGCCAAAACUGAAAAUGGUGUUCAUGCAAAUUCUGGCAUGCAGUCUAAUGCGAGUGAUAUUUUGGGUCUUGCUAGUUAUGCUUCUGAUGAAGAUGAUGAUGAUGCUGAUAACCCCAAAUUGUUGUUGGUUAAUGAAAGUGAUAGUAGGUCUCCUGAAAAUGAAUCCAGAAGUGGUGAGAAUGAGAAGAUUUUAAUUAACAAAGGACUUCGAAGAGGUCCAGAUGGUGUUGCUAGUGGAAGAUUAGAAACCAUUGAUUCUUCUAAUUCCAAUUCAAGAAAUCAUGUUCCAACUUCUGUGACCAUUUAUGCCUCACUUUCUGAUGGUAAAUUACCUGAUCAUGCAAAGAAACAAAAAGAUCCCUCUGUCACUAGUUUGCAACAUCUUCCUCACAGGAAUGACAUUCCAUCUAAAAUUACUUCAGACACUCGCAAUGCUUCAGAGUCAAAAGGUAAGACAAUUAGCAAUAAAGUUAUUAAAGAAGAUAAUACACUUGCCUGUAAUGCUGCUGGAGAAUCAGUGAUUGCCGAGGAGCAUGUAAGGGAGUUGAAAAAAUUCAACGGAAGUGAAAGAUACCCAGAAAAGAGAAGCUACAGCAAAGAAUCUGUUAAGGAAUCGACUAUCACAGAUAAGCCAAGCAGUGAUUCCACUGAGACAAUAUAUUAUGAAAACAAAAGAAGAGCAAAAGAAAAUGGCAAUGAGAAGAAUAAUUCAAAUGAUACAACCAAGGAAAGGAGUAACAAACGAGGAGCAAAUUCUAAGGAUUCUAAUGGCAAAGAUCUUGGUAGCAUCAAGGACAAGAUAGGUGCUGUAAAAGAUAAAAAGGAAAGAGACAAAGAGGAUACUGACAGAAAAAAGGUUAAAUCAAAGGAUGAUAGAGAAGGUAAGUCUAGACACGACACAAAGGAUCCAAGGUAUAUCAGUAGAAAAUCACAUAGCCAAAGACGUAGCAAGGAAGGUUCUUUGCACGACCAUGGUACUUCAAGUAAUGAACCCUUUGAGGUGUCAAAAAGGAGGAGGAUGCAUUCUCGUUCACCACCACCAAACAGAUCCAAGACCAGGUAUUGUAGAACAACUUCCAUAAUCUUUUUCCAUUACCAAGAGAUGAGAAUGAACCAUGUAGAAAGGGUUCAACUGUUUCAUUUUCAACCUCUUUUACCUUUUGACAUGGUUUUCAGAUGAACAGGAUAGGACUAUUUUUGAAGCCUUCCCUUGUCUUUAUUAUGCACGUGUUGGAUUUAGUCCAGUUUGUCCUUUUGACCUAUGAAAAGAGGGGAGGGUGCUAAAAAUAUAAAUGUCUGUUGAUCACUUUGAGAUUGAGCUUCAGAGACUAGCCGCAGCUAAUCAACCUUAGCAUGGCAUUGAAUUUUCAGUUGUCCAAUUUGCACAUAUUCAUUCAACUAGUAAGAUUUCACUGAUGCUAAAUGUAGGUCAUUUUAAUUGAUAUUGGCACUUACUGCAUCUUUUUAAUCACUUACUAAUCUAACAUGUGUAAAAAUAAUGGGAUAAGCUAGAGGUUGAGAGACCCUAAUCAAGUUACUGGAAGAUCAACGUUUAAGUUGUCUCAACAAAUUUCUAGGAGGCUCAAAUAUAUUAUUCAUGCCUGCAGAUCUAGGUCUUCUGUUAUUAUCUUUUGAUAAUCUUUAAAAUGUUGUUAUUGAUUGAUGCUUGCACUUUGCUUGUGUUUGUGCUUUAUAUCCUUUUCUGAUAUUGGAAACCAUGCUUAGCUUACAACUUUUAGACCAAAAUGUAGGUUCCAAUAUGAAAUUUUCAAUGUGCAUUAUGCAUGCUAGUUUCAAGCAAAAACUAUUACACAUUUCAAGCCUUUAAGCAAACUCCAUACUAUAAAGUUUUUUAUGGGAAGUUUAUUUUAAUACGGUCAGUUUAGUGCUGUUAAUUAAAUUGAAAAUUUUCUAUGAUUAGGAUGGCUAUAAGGAUUUUUUUUUUGUCAUGGAGCUCUUCAGACAAUAACUCUCCGGAGUUCUGAUUAUUAUUUUGAGAUAAGCUUUAAAUAAAUUGAUUUAACUUUCAUCUUCUGUAGUGGCUAUUCACAAUAUCCUCAUAAUCUCAUGCUUGAUCUUACAUGUUAUCAUUCUCCGAUUGUUGUAGUCUUCGGUUUCCUAAAUCAAAGAUAUCCUCCAUUUGAAGUAAUAAAGGUUGUCCAAAUGUUGGUUCAGUUUCAACUGAACCAAAUUUGUAUUGUUUAUUGAUUUAAUUGCUAAAAAAUAAAAAAAUAUGGUUUGUUUCAAUUUAUUGCGGUAAUAAAAGAAGACUCUGGUUCAGUUUGCAAAAACAUAGGUAAGAUUACGUCCAAACUUUUGUGUUCUCGGAUGCUUCAGGAUGUAGUGGAACAUUGUUGACGAUUCAAACUUCUUUCUAAUCUUUUCGUUUUUGGUUACGUUAUGAAUUCUUUGUAGCUGUCAAAUAUCUACCCAUUUUCAAGUCUCUGUGAUGGUUAUUUUUAUCAGUGCUGAUUUGUCUAAAACUGUCUCUUAGAGAAACUGAUAAAUAGCUUGCAGGUUGGUUUCCGGGAGUAGAGAAUUCAGAAACACAACUUGUGCCUUUUUUAGUUUUUUUACUUACCAAAUUAGUAUUUAUGUUUCAAUUUCUAGACAAGUAUCGCCGUCUCCCAAUAGGAAGCACUCUCAUCACAGGCACUCUCCCUAUUCUUCGGAUAGAAGGAGGUCUAGAUCCGGAACGCCAGUUCAUCGCAGGCGAUAAGCACUAAAUGAGUAGAGAAGUUAUACCUCAUGCGGAGAAGGUCAAAUGUUUGUCUGGGAGGUGAAUACUACUAGCAGAAAAGGCCUUUAUGCUACUACUACUUGUAUGAAUAUACCCCGAUAAGUUUAUUAUCCGAGAAAGUCACUCGGAAAUCAGUUCAUCGCCUUUCGGAUAUGUUUGAUGAUUCAGCUGACAAAUGAGUUUGUAGUGCAAAGUGGAUUUGUGAUAACAAAUUGGGCCAAUAUUUCAAUUUUCUUCACCCA